AAAAAAGCCAAACUCACAGAAACAGAGAACAGACUGGUGAUUGCCAUGGGCAGAGGAGCUGGGGGCAGGGUGCCUAGGGGGGAUGUGUAAAUGGGUGAAGGCGGUCAAAAGGCCUGGGACUUCAGCGAAGGAUGACCUCGGGAACCGUGCGGUGGCCAGCUCUCAAUCUGGCCCUGCACUCAGGGGACCACUGCCGCCCGUCACGUAUGUUAUUGAGAAAAUGUUACCGAGAAACGUGAGAAAAAUGUUGUUCCUGCUCAUCAGCACAAGGACUUCCAGACCUGUCCCGCCAAGCAGCAUCCCCGACGACCGCAGGUUUUCCACUCUGUACGUGGCGCCCUUUCCAAGC
rnacentral:lncRNA from 1 species